UCUACGGGAGGCAGCAGUGGGGAAUAUUGGACAAUGGGGGAAACCCUGAUCCAGCCAUGCCGCGUGUGUGAAGAAGGCCUUUUGGUUGUAAAGCACUUUAAGCAGUGAAGAAGACCAUAUGGUUAAUACCCAUAUGCGAUGACAUUAGCUGCAGAAUAAGCGCCGGCUAACUCUGUGCCAGCAGCCGCGGUAAUA
rnacentral:rRNA from 1 species